GGAUUCUUGGGGAGUUUAAUAGAGUUAUUCUUAAGUUAGUUUGGUCCCUCAUUUGAGUCUUUCUGUGCUUACACAGAUCAGAGGAACCAGAGAGAGCAGCAGUGAGUACUGCUCCAGAGUUUACAGAACCUGCAGAGUCAGUCCAGACAGCCAGAGGUGAGUGGAACUAAACUUAUUACUCGUUUUAAUUAAGACAUUAACUGCUUUUGGCAUCUUUCAUGCAUCAUAUUUAUGCAAUAGGUUGAUUGCAUUAGAACUCACAAAGAUGUUGCAUUGCAUAGCUAUAUUGUUGGUGUGGGUAAAUGCUGAAUGAUCGAAUAGUUCCAGACAGGAAGUCCAGGACCCCAUUCUACGGCCUGGCAGGUAUAGGAAGUCCAGGACCCCAUUCUACUGCUUGGCGGGUAUAGGCAAACAAUCUAUGCUUGGUGAAUGGUAAGUACAGGUGUUAUAUACACAUAUACAUAUAUGGGACAGGAAGACCAGGACCCCAGUCUACGGCCUGGCACGGUUUACUGGGA
rnacentral:lncRNA from 1 species